AUAAACACCAUUAUAGCUCUAAAAAUCAGCCCUCUGCCCAAUUCCUUUGAAAUAAUUCUGGCAGCUCCCUUGCCCCCACUGGGCCACCCACCCUACCCUGCUCUGGGUGGGUACCCUUACCACCCACCCUACCCUGCUCUGGGUGGGUACCCUUACCACCCACCCUACCCUGCUCUGGGUCACCCCUCCCCCUGCCCGACAUGAACCUAUACUUUUGCUGAAACCUCCAUUAUUCCCUAUGGGAAAAAUCUUAAACUUCAAAAAUUCACCAAAAACCAGCCCUUUGCCCAAUUCCUCUGAAAUGUGGGUGGUAUCUUCCACCCAUUAGGCACUACCAACCCCACCCACUAGUUUUGCCCUGGGGCCAUUUUUUAAAAUCCAAAACAUUUCGGAUUCAGAUUUUGCAAUUUCGAACAAAGAACAAAAUUGGGGUGUUUCGGAUUGGUUGAUUUUGAACAAAACACAAAAUGGGGGUGUUUCGGAUUCAGGCCAAAAACAAAAUAGAGGGGGGGGGGAAGCACAACCCUAUACACAACCCACCUUCCCCUUUGCUGAAGCAGCUUUUCAACUUUAAAGAAGUGAUUAAUUCAUUUAACUGAAUUUGUGUACACUGACUCUAAAAUAAAAAGAAACAGUCUCCCCAAGACAAUGGAGGGAAAGAACAAAACUGAAAACUUAAGACAUUGCUAGAUGUUCUACUAUGCACACCCUUCAUUUGCACUGCAAAAAUGGUGAGAGAAAGCCAGGUUCAUCUUGCAGAAGUCUGCUGUAAGUAUUUUAAAGUUAUGAACUCCCAGCAUGCCACUCGCAAGCCUCUAUGCCACCAACUUUUUUAAAUCAAACUGAAGGCCAGAGUGCAUGAGAAAUGGAAGUAUAUUUUAAACACAUAAAAUGAAUGACUAGAUUUUCAAAACUUCUAUAAUUUCAAGUUACUUAAGCACUUUUGAUUGAGUGAUCUAUACUUGGUUCUGAGCAAUCAUUUAGAUGCCUGACUUGAAAUUUUAAUGCAAGGUUCCUAUUUUUCAACACAUGAGCCUCAAGACUGAGGAGUGGGGGCGGGGGGAGAUACACUGAGCACAUUUAUGGUCUAUUUCCGCAGUUUCACUGUUUAUUUCAAAUUGAUGUUCCUGAACAGGAAAUGUUAUCCAAAUUAUAUCCUCAUCUUGUUCUGCUAUUUAUUCAUACUAAGGCACCACUCAGGUGUAACCCUGCUGCUAUGAAAUGCUGCACCAUUGCAAAAUGAUUUAGGAAAAGAAUACCAAAGAGAACUCAUUAGGCAAACAAUUCUAUUAUUCAUCGCUAAAAUGGAAUCAGGAAGUAAAAGUGUUAGACAAACCUCUUGCGGCACACAUGUUUAAGUGAUGUUCUUUGAAGAUUUAAUGGGGAUAGCAACUCUAAACUACUAGCUGGGUGACUCUGGGCCAGUCACUUCACUCUCAGCCUAACCUACAUCACAGGGUUGCUGUGAAAGAGAAACUUAAGUAUGUAGUACACCACUCUGGGCUCCUUGGUGGAAGAGUGGGAUAUAAAUGUAACAACAACCAACAAACAAUGGUUGUUAUAGUUACACACACACACGUAAGUUCCAGGUCAAUACAACGUAUAUUUUAACACUACCCAAUUAUUUAGAAAUCAAAACUGCAAAAAAUACAGUGCAGUCAGUUUCAUCACAAGCAAAUUAGGACAACAGGAUAUAAAGUGUGAGAGGGCAGUGACCAUGUGAAAGCACUGAAACAGGCCUUUAAAAAUGUGAAAGGCUGUGUUGAUUUAACUCGCAAAUGGAAGCCAGAACAAGAAUGGGGAAGAGGACCAAAUACUUGAAAGCUAUUCAGUCUGUUGUAUGAAAAUAAUUUCACAGUUCCAGAGAACUUGAACCCAAUCUGAUGCCACUUUGGCACUGAGUGCUCAGAAUGUCUGAAGUCUAAGACUAAAUGCUGGUUCAGAUUUCCCCUGCAGUUGAUGAAAUUCUGUGGACAAUCUGUUCUGACUGUAGUAUUCUAUGGCUCCCUCUAUCCUACAUUUUAAACUUUAGUUAUUACAUAAAUUUUUCAUUGCAUCUUACAAAUGAAGUUAGGCCUCAGCCUAUUGAAUUAGACCCCCUGAAGACAAGCUCAGUUACAUGUGUAUAUAAUUGCUGGGUAGAAGAAAAUAUUUUGAAGCAGGCAAGUAGUUUUUAAUUAAUACAGUGUCAUAAAAUUGAUGGAAAUAGAAAGAAUAGUUCCAACAAGAUCUUUACUGCUGGAAACCCCUACAGCCUCCUCAAUGGAGAAGUCUUAAGAAGACUGAACAUUCCUAACAGGCUGCCUAGAAUCUGCUAAGUUUAACAAAAAGCAGGGAUGGAAGCCUAGUCUGACUUUCUUCUGGGUCCUCCUAAUCAUUCCUGAGAGUAGGCAAGGGUACAAUAGAGAAACAUACACAGUCCCUUGCAUUCAAAACAUUGAUGCCAAAUCACAACAGAAAACAUGGAGCAUAUCAUUUGAUUGCAUCAAGGUGGCAGGCAAAAUAGGAGCUCCCAAUGCUUUCAGCUCCUUAUUCACCUCUUAAGGUGCAUAAAAUCAGGGCUGAAGUAAAUAUAGGAGGAGGUUCUCUUGGGAAGAUGUAAACACUCACAGCCAUACAGGAUUAGGGAAUGGAAAAAGCUACUUAGGUACAACAUGCUUAUUCCUCGGCAGGCCAGGUUGUAGAUUUGCCAAGAAAUCGCUUAAUGUAAUACCCUGGUUGCAUUUUUCCUAUCCUUUAAUUCUGUGUGGCUGAAGGUCUGGUUAAUUCAUCACUUAUCCCAGGAUAACUAGCAAUAAAUUUAUAGCAAUAAAUGUUAGUGUGCAAACCCCUAUUCAGUCCGACUCACACAUUAUUUUGACGUGAUUAAUCAUAAGGUGAUUUUACCAUGUCAGGCUUUUAUGGUGAAUGUUGUUUCAUAAGCUCACACUCUGGUAUUUCAUGCUUUGCUCCAGGGUGGUAGACACCAGCUGACCAGUGGUCCCUCUAACUUUUUUCAUCUCUGUGCAGAGUGAGUUUUGUUCUGGGCAGCAAUAUCAAGGCAAUGUGUGCACACGUGCAUUCAGAGUGUGGCCUUCCUAAUUCAACCUGAGCGGGAUCUAAAAUUAACUGAGUGGACAUCAGAAAACUUGUGAGCAUGCACACAUGUGCAUGCCUUAGAGGAAACAGUUCAGCUGACACUAUCUAAGGGUGCAUUCAAACAAAUUCACCACACAAAAUAGAUGCAAUAAAAUCACCCAGUGAUCACUCUACCAUAUCAACAAGCCAAAUGUGAAUCAGGGCUCAAAUAGUCAAUAUUUAUUAGCAGACAUUUGAAAGGACAGAAAACUGCUCAAAACGAUUUUGUUAGAUAUAUUAUUCUCCAAGUAGUUCUGAAACUACAAGAAGGCACAGGAAAUAUUUUUUCACCAAGAUCAUUUCUGUCAUUUGAUUUACAAUACACUGUCCUUUAUAGCUGUGGUAUUUCUCCAUAACAGCUGAUUAAUACAGGCUGUAAAUGAGUGAUUGGUGUGAGAGCAAGAGCUACAAGCGGCCCUCAUUAUUAAUGGUUCCAUUACCCCCAGUUUCAUGUAUCUGCAGUCAGGAAAUACAUACCUGACUAUGUUAUUCAUGGUAAAGGGUUUCGAGCAGUGUUCCCUCUAACAGGUAUUCUCAGAAGUUGACUACAACUCCCAUAAUACCCAAGCAAAGGCUAUUGUAGCUGGAGAUGCUGGGAGUUGUAGUCAACAGCAUCUGGGAAUACCUGUGAGAGGGAACACUGGUUGAGAGGGAUGUAUUGGGCCAGUUCCUUAGCCCAUAAGAUGGAAGCUCGGGCAAAAAUUGAAUUGGCAGCCAUGGCUUUGAUCACUGUAACUGAGGCAUCAUGAGCUUUCCUGAGGCAUCAUUUGUUUUACAUUUUUUUAAAUCUUCUGGAAUUUUAAGUUGUUCAUCCCCUUCUUUGUUCAUGAUUGGUCCCGACACCAGUUGUGCUAUUGGUGCAUCCACGAGAGGCGGAGCUAGGAGAAUGGAGACAUUCUGUGUAAAGGAAUACAAUUUGUUGUGGAAGGGAAUGAAAGGUCUAGAAGAGAAAGGAUAAUUCUAUUCCACCAUCACUGUACUGUGAAAUAGGGGAGGAAAAGGGACAGAGGGAGGAAGGAAAAGGGAAACAUUCUCAUCCAGUCCCAAGUGGGGUGGAGCUACAUCAGAGGGCAAAACAGCAUUGAUAGCUCUUCUUGACUUGCAUAUCAAAACCUCAAAUUAAGCUGCUGAGAACAAAUGAGUUGAGUUAGGUACCUGUGGAGAGGUCUCCUUGGAGAGUUCACCCUAUUCUGUGUCAGAAGAUGAAGCAAGCUGAGAGUCUGAAACAUGAUGGGAGCUGCCUGCAGUUGCCGAAGAAGAGGAAGGCACCACGCCAGAAUCCGGAUGGAGAGGAAGAAUUGGAGCAUUUUGAGUGUCAUCCUUCCACAGGGGCCAUGCUAAUCUUCUCUGUAUCAUUCCAAUUUUAGUAUAUGUGCUGCCGAAGCGA